rnacentral:hammerhead_ribozyme from 1 species
AUCCAGCUGACGAGUCCAAAAUAUAACGAAAUACACGUUGUGCUGCAU